rnacentral:rRNA from 1 species
GUCCAGACUCCUACGGGAGGCAGCAGUGAGGAAUAUUGGUCAAUGGGCGCGAGCCUGAACCAGCCAAGUCGCGUGAGGGAAGACGGUCCUAUGGAUUGUAAACCUCUUUUGUCGGGGAGCAAAGCGAACCACGUGUGGUUCAUUGAGAGUACCCGAAGAAAAAGCAUCGGCUAACUCCGUGCCAGCAGCCGCGGUAAUACGGAGGAUGCGAGCGUUAUCCGGAUUUAUUGGGUUUAAAGGGUGCGCAGGCGGAGGUGCAAGUCAGCGGUCAAAUUGCGGGGCUCAACCCCGUACUGCCGUUGAAACUGCAUCCCUUGAGUGCGCGAGAAGUAUGCGGAAUGCGUGGUGUAGCGGUGAAAUGCUUAGAUAUCACGAAGAACCCCGAUUGCGAAGGCAGCCUGCCGCAGCGUUACUGACGCUGAAGCUCGAAAGCGCGGGUAUCGAACAGGAUUAGAUACCCGCGUAAG